ensembl:ncRNA F57B1.10 ncRNA
UCUUAAAGCGUACGCUGUCCGUAUUUAUACCCAUUGUGGUGUAAUACCUUUGCUUGUGUAGAGUGGGACGGAUGUGAAAAUCUAGAAGGUCGUUCGUCUUUAGCUAUUUUCUUCAUUAUCGUUUCAUUUCCUGGUUUAUUACUAGCUCG